GCUCAUAUAGCUCAGUCGGUAGAGUACUUCCUUGGUAAGGAAGAGGUCACCAGUUCGAAUCUGGUUAUGAGCUCCA
rnacentral:tRNA from 1 species